ACUGUGGGUAGCGGAGAAAUUCCAAUCGAACCCGGAGAUAGCUGGUUCUCCCCGAAAUAGUUUUAGGACUAGCCUCAAGUUAGAUACCUGGAGGUAAAGCACUGAAUAGCCUAGCGGCCGAGAGGUUAGCGAAGCUUAUCAAACUCAGAAUGCCAGAGUAUUGAUGCUUGGGAGUCAGACAGUGUCAGAUAAAUGUCAUUGUCAAAAGGGAAACAGCCCAGAUCUACAGCUAAGGUCCCAAAGUCAGGUUAAGUGGAAAACGAUGUGAAGAUACGCAGACAACCAGGAUGUUGGCUCAGAAGCAGCCACUCAUUCAAAGAGUGCGUAAUAGCUCACUGGUCGAGCGUCUUUGCGCGGAGAAUUUAACGGGGCUAAACCUGACACCGAAGCUUAGGCAAUACAGCAAUGUAUUGGGUAGGGGAGCGUUGUAUACGCGGUGAAACAGUAGCGCAAGCGGCUGUGGAGUGUAUAGAAGUGAGAAUGCCGGAAUGAGUAGCGCGAAUGCAGUGAGAAUCUGCAUGGCCGAAAGCCUCAGGUUUCUGGAGGAAGGUUCGUCCGCUCCAGGUUAGUCGGGAGCUAAGGUGAGGCCUAACGGCGUAGCCGAUGCACAGACGGUAGAGAUUCCGUCACCACCAAAAGAGUUAAGCACAGGGACACAUUUGAAGUCUCAGAGCCGGGUGUUGGUUCCGGUAGAGAUCGAGGGAAAUUAGUACCGAAGUCUGGGAUGGAAGAUGGCGAGAAAAGCUGUGUGUAUUUCUGAGGUGCCCGUACCGCAAACCGACACAGGUAGGUAGGAAGAAGAUUCUAAGGCCAACGGGAGAAGGGUUGUUAAGGAACUCGGCAAAUUGACCCCGUAACUUCGGGAGAAGGGGUGCUCCAGAGAUGGAGCCGCAGAGAAUCGGCCCAAGCAACUGUUUACCAAAAACACAGGUUUGUGCUAAAUCGAAAGAUGACGUAUACGAGCUGACGCCUGCCCGGUGCUGGAAGGUUAAGAGGAGAUGUGCAAGCAUUGAAUCGAAGCCCCAGUGAACGGCGGCCGUAACUAUAACGGUCCUAAGGUAGCGAAAUUCCUUGUCAGGUAAGUUCUGACCCGCACGAAUGGCGUAAUGAUCUGGGAGCUGUCUCAACUGCCCGCCCGGCGAAAUUGUAGUACCGGUGAAGAUGCCGGUUACCCGCGACUAGACGGAAAGACCCCAUGGAGCUUUACUGUAGCUUAAUAUUGGAUUUCGGCAUUUCAUGUACAGGAUAGGUGGGAGACUAGGAAACAUAGGCGUCAGCUUAUGUGGAGUCGUCCUUGGGAUACCACUCUUGGAGUGCUGAAAUUCUAACCUGCAGCCCUGAAUCGGGUUGGGGGACAUUGUUAGGUGGGCAGUUUGACUGGGGCGGUCGCCUCCAAAAAGGUAACGGAGGCGCUCAAAGGUUGGCUCAGCAUGGAUGGAAACCAUGCUAUAGAGUGCAAACGCAAAAGCCAGCCUGACUGCGAGACUGACGGGUCGAGCAGAAACGAAAGUUGGAGUUAGUGAUCCGGCGGUAUGUGAAUGGAAAUGCCGUCGCUCAACGGAUAAAAGCUACCCUGGGGAUAACAGGCUGAUCUCCCCCAAGAGUCCACAUCGACGGGGAGGUUUGGCACCUCGAUGUCGGCUCAUCACAUCCUGGGGCUGUAUUCGGUCCCAAGGGUUCGGCUGUUCGCCGAUUAAAGUGGUACGCGAGCUGGGUUCAGAACGUCGCGAGACAGUUCGGUCCCUAUCUGUCGUGGGCGCAGGAUAUUUGAGGAGCUCUGUCCUUAGUACGAGAGGACCGGGAUGGACGUACCUCUGGUGCACCAGUUGUCAUGCCAAUGGCACGGCUGGGCAGCUAUGUACGGAACGGAUAAACGCUGAAAGCAUCUAAGCGUGAAGCCGACUCCAAGAUUAGAUAUCCCAUCGUAUAACGAGUAAGACCCCUUGAAGACUACGAGGUUGAUAGGCUGCGUGUGUAAGUGCCGUGAGGCAUUCAGCUUGGCAGUACUAAUAGGUCGAGGGCUUGACCA
rnacentral:rRNA from 1 species